UACGAAGGGGGCUAGCGUUGCUCGGAAUGACUGGGCGUAAAGGGCGCGUAGGCGGAUGGCACAGUCAGAUGUGAAAUUCCUGGGCUUAACCUGGGGGCUGCAUUUGAUACGUGUGAUCUGGAGUGAGGAAGAGGGUUGUGGAAUUCCCAGUGUAGAGGUGAAAUUCGUAGAUAUUGGGAAGAACACCGGUGGCGAAGGCGGCGACCUGGUCCUUAACUGACGCUGAGGCGCGAAAGCGUGGGGAGCAAACAGG
rnacentral:rRNA from 1 species